CCUACGGGUGGCUGCAGUGGGGAAUAUUGCACAAUGGGCGCAAGCCUGAUGCAGCCAUGCCGCGUGUGUGAAGAAGGCCUUCGGGUUGUAAAGCACUUUCAGCGGGGAGGAAGGCGUUAAGGUUAAUAACCUUGGCGAUUGACGUUACCCGCAGAAGAAGCACCGGCUAACCCCGUGCCAGCAGCCGCGGUAAUACGGAGGGUGCAAGCGUUAAUCGGAAUUACUGGGCGUAAAGCGCACGCAGGCGGUCUGUCAAGUCGGAUGUGAAAUCCCCGGGCUCAACCUGGGAACUGCAUUCGAAACUGGCAGGCUAGAGUCUUGUAGAGGGGGGUAGAAUUCCAGGUGUAGCGGUGAAAUGCGUAGAGAUCUGGAGGAAUACCGGUGGCGAAGGCGGCCCCCUGGACAAAGACUGACGCUCAGGUGCGAAAGCGUGGGGAGCAAACAGGAUUAGAUACCCUUGUAGUC
rnacentral:rRNA from 1 species